GAAUUCACUAGUGAUNGGAUCNCAGGCNUAACACAUGCAAGUCGAGCGCCGUAGCAAUACGGAGCGGCAGACGGGAGAGUAACACGUGGGAACGUACCCUUCAGUUCGGAACAACCCCAGGGAAACUUGGGCUAAUACCGGAUACGUCCGUAAGGAGAAAGAUUUGUCGCUGAAGGAUCGGCCCGCGUCUGAUUAGCUAGUUGGUGAGGUAACGGCUCACCAAGGCGACGAUCAGUAGCUGGUCUGAGAGGAUGAUCAGCCUCACUGGGACUGAGACACGGCCCAGACUCCUACGGGAGGCAGCAGUGGGGAAUAUUGGACAAUGGGCGCAAGCCUGAUCCAGCCAUGCCGCGUGGGUGAUGAAGGCCUUAGGGUUGUAAAGCCCUUUCGGCGGGGAAGAUAAUGACGGUACCCGCAGAAGAAGCCCCGGCUAACUUCGUG
rnacentral:rRNA from 1 species